rnacentral:rRNA from 1 species
GAUGAACGCUGGCGGCGUGCUUAACACAUGCAAGUCGAACGAUGAUGCCCAGCUUGCUGGGUGGAUUAGUGACGAACGGGUGAGUAACACGUGAGUAACCUGCCCUUGACUCUGGGAUAAGCCUGGGAAACUGGGUCUAAUACCGGAUACGACCAUCUGGCGCAUGUCAUGGUGGUGGAAAGCUUUUGUGGUUUUGGAUGGACUCGCGGCCUAUCAGCUUGUUGGGGGGGUAAUGGCCUACCAAGGCGACGACGGGUAGCCGGCCUGAGGGGGUGCCCGGCCCACGGGGGACGGGAAACCGGCCCAACCCCCUCGGGGGGGGGGCGGGGGGGAUUAUGCAAAAAGGGGGGAAAGCGGGAGGCAGGGCCCCCGGGGGGGGGAUGGCGGCUUUGGGGUUGAAACCCGUUUUCAGGGGGGAAGAGGGGAAGGGGACGGUACUGGCAAAAGAAGCGCCGGCAAACUACGU